AGCACGACCAGGUGGACUGGGGACAGGAACAGCCAGGAGUCAUCAGGCCAGGUAGUCCUGAGGCAUGGUCCUAGAGCUCAGGUCCUGCAUCCUUUAUUUAAUUUAAGUGUAGACUAAGCCCUAGAGGUUUUGUAACUUCACAUGAUUUAACCUACUUGUCAAUCCAGAUCUGAAUAUUUGAUAUCCUUUUUACUGUACACUGUUGAUAGUAUUUUUUUGCGAAGCUAAUCACUGAAUGUCCUACUACAAGGAUGUGGUCAGGUUGACACACUUCUGAGUCAAUAACACAGAUCACACACACCACAGAUUGCGAGGGCAAGUACAAUGAGCAGUUGGGAAAAUGAAGUCUGCUGUGUGGUUGCCCAAUAUACACACACACACAAACACACACUUAAUUUAGGUUAGUGUGUAGUCGAGGCUUUGUCAUUAAAAUAAUAUUGUGCCUAUCUUUCAGAUCUGCCAACCAGGCUCGGUGGGUGACAGGUAACCGUGUUUCAAUCAAUCUGUUCCAGGCCUGGAGUGACACGCUGAAACUUCCAGAGGCUUGUAGACCUGAAGCAGUGUGAUGUGGUCCAGAAAAUGGUCACACACACACUUAUACUCACUCAAUCACUCACUCUAUUUUGUUGUAUAAUUAUUUUCACUUAAGAAAAUUGUGCCUCUCUCUUUUAGAUAUGACACCCCUAUUAGCUCAACCACAGCCCUCACAGCUGCAGUCGUCUGCCCCUGCACCUGCUACACCGGCCGCGACAGGUGAUACAGAUCUGCCACCCCCCAGCAGUUCAGCUGCAGUUACAGUAGUCCUGUGGUAUUUAAUUUACCGGCUGCACCAGUUCCUACUACACUGGCCGUGAAGGGAGAACCUUUUGAGGAUUCCCAGAUGGAUACCGAUCUGCCAUGCACUCCACCACUGCCCAGAAGUGCAUACACUGGGCCUAUCAAGACUGACAAAGCAGAGAUGGGUGGCUGACAAGGAAAAAUAAAACACAACAUGCACACACACUCUAUCCCCAAUGUAAAUAAAUUGUAAUUACUUGUUUA